CACGUAGGGCGCAAGCGUUGUCCGGAAUUAUUGGGCGUAAAGAGCUCGUAGGCGGUCUGUUGCGUCCGCUGUGAAAACUCGGGGCUUAACCCCGAGCCUGCAGUGGAUACGGGCAGACUAGAGGUAGGUAGGGGAGAAUGGAAUUCCCGGUGUAGCGGUGAAAUGCGCAGAUAUCGGGAGGAACACCGGUGGCGAAGGCGGUGCUCUGGGCCUUACCUGACGCUGAGUAGCGAAAGCGUGGGGAGCGAACAGG
rnacentral:rRNA from 1 species